GACACACGGCGGGUGCUAACGUCCGUCGUGAAGAGGGAAACAACCCAGACCGCCAGCUAAGGUCCCAAAGUCAUGGUUAAGUGGGAAACGAUGUGGGAAGGCCCAGACAGCCAGGAUGUUGGCUUAGAAGCAGCCAUCAUUUAAAGAAAGCGUAAUAGCUCACUGGUCGAGUCGGCCUGCGCGGAAGAUGUAACGGGGCUAAACCAUGCACCGAAGCUGCGGCAGCGACACUAUGUGUUGUUGGGUAGGGGAGCGUUCUGUAAGCCUGUGAAGGUGGCCUGUGAGGGUUGCUGGAGGUAUCAGAAGUGCGAAUGCUGACAUAAGUAACGAUAAAGCGGGUGAAAAGCCCGCUCGCCGGAAGACCAAGGGUUCCUGUCCAACGUUAAUCGGGGCAGGGUGAGUCGACCCCUAAGGCGAGGCCGAAAGGCGUAGUCGAUGGGAAACAGGUUAAUAUUCCUGUACUUGGUGUUACUGCGAAGGGGGGACGGAGAAGGCUAUGUUGGCCGGGCGACGGUUGUCCCGGUUUAAGCGUGUAGGCUGGUUUUCCAGGCAAAUCCGGAAAACCAAGGCUGAGGCGUGAUGACGAGGCACUACGGUGCUGAAGCGACAAAUGCCCUGCUUCCAGGAAAAGCCUCUAAGCAUCAGGUAACAUCAAAUCGUACCCCAAACCGACACAGGUGGUCAGGUAGAGAAUACCAAGGCGCUUGAGAGAACUCGGGUGAAGGAACUAGGCAAAAUGGUGCCGUAACUUCGGGAGAAGGCACGCUGAUAUGUAGGUGAAGCGACUUGCUCGUGGAGCUGAAAUCAGUCGAAGAUACCAGCUGGCUGCAACUGUUUAUUAAAAACACAGCACUGUGCAAACACGAAAGUGGACGUAUACGGUGUGACGCCUGCCCGGUGCCGGAAG
rnacentral:rRNA from 1 species